GUCACCCAGCCGUGGGUGUCACACACCCCUGGGUGUCACCCAGCCGUGGGUGCCACGAGCUGCUGUGCAGGUGCAGCUGAGCUCAGGGGCAGCAGGAGCAGCGGGGCCCAGGGAAUCCCUGCACAGAGCAUCACUGCCUGCAGCCUUACCCGAAACCGGGGCUCGAGCUCAGGCUGAGGCUCUCGUGGCUCUGUGGGUUUCGGCUCCUUUCCCUCAGCCUCUGUGUUUUUGUUCCUCCCCUCCCUGCCCACUGCAGCCCAAACCCAAAACAAUAACUAGAGGAAACCUCUGGCUGCAUAGUUCUCAUUCCUGAGCCGGGCUGCAUAUGGCUUUGCUUUGGGUGGAGACGAGCUCGUGCUCAAACGUGGUUUUACUCCUUUUGUUUCCAACCUGAGCAAAGCACGAUUGUCCCACUCCUUGACCUUGCUGCAUCCACCCUCCCACAGCAGCAGUGGUGGUGAAACCCUCCCAGCCCCGAAAUUUGGGAGCUUGUGAGAUGGGAGUGUGGGCUGCCUUCAGCCUCAGAGGUGCCAAGAACAGGCAGGGGUGGACGGGAAACACCAAAAGCUCUGUGCCUCUGCUCUGAGGUGCUUUUCCAGCCCAGAGCAAUACCUGGGCACUUACCCCUGUUGUGAGCAGCCAUUGCUGUGUGUGAGCAUUAAAGCCAUGCCGUGUCAAAGCCUUUUGCAUUUGUGCUCAGGAUGCCCCAUGGGUGAUGCUGCUCGGGUUAAUGGUUUGUGUGAGAAAAUAAUGGACGUGACACGGCAGCUCCAGCCUGGGCAAAGCUUCUGUUGGGGAGCGGGGAUAAUCAGAGAUGGGAUCUCCUGAUUCCAGCCUCUUGGAUUUGAUGCUCAGGAGGCGUUUUCUGAGGGAAAGUGCAGAGACAAGACCUCAAUCUUUUCUGAGUGACCAUACAGCAAAUAUGCUGCUUUGAAAUGUCACUGGUUCCCCUACCAGGAAAGAAAUGAAACAAAACUGGAGUGGAUGAAGAAAA